rnacentral:rRNA from 1 species
CUGAGGUUAACGUCACAGUAUGCGAGUAUUAAUCACACACCUUUCCUCACCUCUGAAAGUGCUUUACAACCAAGGCCUUCUUCACACACGCGGCAUGGCUGGAUCAGGGUUGCCCCCAUUGUCCAAUAUUCCC